GGUUGCUUAGCUCAGUUGGGAGAGCGCUUUCCUUACAAGAAAGUGGUCACUGGUUCGAUCCCAGUAGCAAUCACCA
rnacentral:tRNA from 2 species